UAUUUUUCGUGAAAUUUGAACUGCUCACUAUUUUUAUUGUGAUUUUCUUUUUUUACUGCCCAGGCGAGGAAAAAGCCGACGGAUUUCGAUACCGAACCGGAAACAGACGAAGAAGUGGCCGAAUUACUCGAGGAGGUGCAUGGCUCAUCGAGGCACUGUCUGGCCCUGUUCACUGCUCGCUGCAUGGAGACAUUCCACAAGCUCGCUGAACUGUUGCUGGUGCAGCCCAGCCACAAGACAGAUGCCCUUCGCCUCGCUACACAUCUCACCGGGUUGGCAACCGCGAUGUGCGCAGAAGUGGAUAACUUAACUGUCGCAUACCAGAAGAAAUUGGAAUUUUUGUUUAUCAGAGCCACUAAAACAAAUGUCACAGACACAAUGUCCAAUUUGUAUGUUGAAG